AUGUCAGGAGGGCACUUCCUGAUCAUUGACUUGAACCUCUCCCAAGCUUCAUAGAUGGACUCACCAUCUCUCUGCCUGAAAGUCUGAAUAGCUGUUCUCAGCUU